GCCUCCACUUCUGUCAGGAACUGCUUCCCCCAGUUCCUCCGCUUCAUCCCAAACCUCCCAUCGAGACCCAGUCCUACCCAGUUUCUCCUUAGGGAAUGGUCUGAUAGAACAAUAAGGUCUAAGAAGGACCUGGAGUUGGAGGAGCACCCCGAUGCUGCUGACCAAAGGCUUCUAGACCCAGGGGUGCUCAGCCCAGGGAAAGCCCUUGCCAUUGCUAUGAGCAGCUGUUGUUGUCAGCCUCUGAGCAGCAUGAAGAGGAGGCACUAUGGCUGGGUUGUGCCCCUGCCCCACAAAUGCGUAUGUUGAAGCCCCGACCACCGGCGUGACUGUAUUUGGAGACAGGCCUUAGGAGGUUAUUAAGGCUAACUGAUGUCAUAAGGAUGAUAACCCUAUCAGGUGCCCUGAUCUGAUAGGGUUAGUAUCCUUAUAAGAAGAGACACUGGAAAGUGCCCUCUCCCUUUUCUUCCUCUCCCUCUUCCUCUCCCUUCUUCUCCCCCUCCUCCU
rnacentral:lncRNA from 13 species